CUGGCUCAGGAUGAACGCUGGCGGCGUGCCUAACACAUGCAAGUCGAACGGGUUAAGUGAAAUUUCGGAUGGACCUUAACUUAGUGGCGGACGGGUGAGUAACGCGUGGAUAACCUGCCUCACACUGGGGGAUAGCAGCUGGAAACGGCUGGUAAUACCGCAUAAGACCCCGGUGCCGCAUGGCACCGGGGUAAAAGAUUUAUCGGUGUGAGAUGGAUCCGCGUCUGAUUAGCCAGUUGGCGGGGUAACGGCCCACCAAAGCGACGAUCAGUAGCCGGCCUGAGAGGGUGAACGGCCACAUUGGGACUGAGACACGGCCCAAACUCCUACGGGAGGCAGCAGUGGGGAAUAUUGCACAAUGGGCGCAAGCCUGAUGCAGCAACGCCGCCGUGAGUGAAGAAGUAUUUCGGUAUGUAAAGCUCUAUCGGCAGGGAAGAAAGGCCCAUAACGGGAGAUGACGGUACCUGACUAAGAAGCCCCGGCUAACUACGUGCCAGCAGCCGC
rnacentral:rRNA from 1 species